rnacentral:rRNA from 1 species
CCGACGGUGAGGGGCGAACGGGUGCGUAACACGUGAGAAAUCUGCCCUAAAGUUCGGGAUAGCCCUACGAAAGUAGAAUUAAUACCGGAUGUGGCCCAGGGAGGGCAUCCUCCCCUGGCUAAAGCUCGGUUAAAGAGCGCUUUUGGAUGAUCUCGCGGUCUAUCAGCUUGUUGGUGAGGUAACGGCUCACCAAGGCUUUGACGGAUAGCUGGUCUGAGAGGAUGAUCAGCCUCACUGGAACUGAGACACGGUCCAGACACCUACGGGUGGCAGCAGUCGAGAAUCAUUCACAAUGGGCGAAAGCCUGAUGGUGCGACGCCGCGUGGGGGAAGAAGGGCUUCGGUUCGUAAACCCCUGUCAUCUGUGAGUAAGACUCCCAAUAAAAGCUUGGGAGGUUGAUAUUAGCAGAAGAGGAAGGGACGGCUAACUCUGUGCCAGCAGCCGCGGUAAUACAGAGGUCCCAAGCGUUGUUCGGAUUUACUGGGCGUAAAGAGUGCGUAGGCGGCUAGAAAAGUUUGAUGUGAAAUCUCCGGGCUUAACCCGGAAACUGCAUUGAAAACUAUCUGGCUAGAGGAUCGGAGAGGAGAUUGGAAUUCUCGGUGUAGCAGUGAAAUGCGUAGAUAUCGAGAGGAACACCAGUUGCGAAGGCGGAUCUCUGGACGGUUUCUGACGCUGAGGCACGAAAGCUGGGGUAGCGAAGAGGAUUAGAUACCCUCGUAGUCCCAGCCGUAAACGGUGCACACUUGCUGUGGGCGGAUUCGACCCCGUCCGUGGCGAAGCUAACGCGAUAAGUGUGCCGCCUGGGGAGUACGGUCGCAAGAUUAAAACUCAAAGAAAUUGACGGGGGCCUGC